CCGGGACGUCCCCCAUCCCGCGCUCCCUGCUCCUCAGGCCCAGCUUGCUCCUUGCUCCUUUCUCCUCGCUCCUCCGACGCACAUCAGACCACUGGAAGGGGCCAUUCUACAAGGAGUUGUUGAGCACCUGCUGUCUAUCUACAGAAAUCUUGAAAUGUGGAACAGAGAUGGAAAUAUAGCAUGCAAGUCAGAAUGAAUUGCCAAACAAUGACAGAAGGCUGCUCUGAAAUGAUCAAAAUUUUCUCCUGGGACCUCACACCAAAGGAAUAUAAUAGGCAUUCAUUUCUAAGACAAUGCGGUUAACAUACUGCACAAAAGUGAAGAUGUGAGAGAUUCUUCUGAAGGAUUGAUUGCAGACAAAAAUAAUUCCUAGGAGAGAAACAAAGGAGAAUAUAAUUUCCCUGACUUAGCUAUUUUUUCUUUUAAUUGUAAAAAACUGUACAUGCCUAGUGCUUAUACAAUUCUGAAUUUAAAAGAACGAUUUUUAAACCACA
rnacentral:lncRNA from 1 species